rnacentral:rRNA from 1 species
GGAGUCUAGCAUGUGCGCGCGUCAUUGGGACCGCACUAAACCUAAAGGCGAAAUGAAAGUGAAGGAUCGCUCGCGCGUUCCGAGGGAGGAUGGGCCGCGUCUCGGCGCGGCCCCGCACUCCCGGGGCGUCUCGUUCUCAUCGCGAGAUGAGGCGCACCCAGAGCGCACACGCUGGGACCCGAAAGAUGGUGAACUAUGCCUGGUCAGGACGAAGUCAGGGGAAACCCUGAUGGAGGUCCGUAGAGCUUCUGACGUGCAAAUCGAUCUUCGGAACUGGGUAUAGGGGCGAAAGACUAAUCGAACCAUCUAGUAGCUGGUUCCCUCCGAAGUUUCCCUCAGGAUAGCUGGCGCUCGCGCUUCGCGAGUCUCAUCCGGUAAAGCGAAUGAUUAGAGGCAUUGGGGUCGAAACGGCCUCAACCUAUUCUCAAACUUUAAAUGGGUGAGAUCUCCGGCUUGCUUGAACGCGCGCCCCGCGCUCGCCCCCCCGGGGGCGGGCCGGGGUCUGCGCGUGAAGCCGCGAGAUCGGAUCAGAGUGCCAAGUGGGCCACUUUUGGUAAGCAGAACUGGCGCUGUGGGAUGAACCAAACGCAGAGUUAAAGCGCCCAAAUCGACGCUUAUGGGAUACCAUGAAAGGCGUUGGUAACUUAAGACAGCAGGACGGUGGCCAUGGAA